rnacentral:rRNA from 1 species
AGGAGUUUGAUCCUGGGCUCAGAUUGAACGUUGGCGGCACGCUUAAUACAUGCAAGUCGAACGAGAAAGCACCUUCGGGUGCGAGUAAAGUGGCGGACGGGUGAGUAACGCGUAGGAAUCUACCCAGUAGUAGGGGACAACUCGGGGAAACUCGAGCUAAUACCGUAUGUCAUCCCUCUUCGGAGGGAUCAAAGAGGGCCUAUCCUUGGAAGCUCUCGCUAUUGGAGGAGCCUGCGUUGGAUUAGCUUGUUGGUGAGGUAAAAGCUCACCAAGGCGACGAUCCAUAGCUGGUCUGAGAGGACGACCAGCCACACUGGAACUGAGACACGGUCCAGACUCCUACGGGAGGCAGCAGUAGGGAAUCUUGGGCAAUGGGCGCAAGCCUGACCCAGCGAUGCCGCGUGUGUGAAGAAGGCCUUCGGGUUGUAAAGCACUUUCAGUGGUGAAGAAAAGCUAGGAGAUUAAUACCCUCGAGUCUUGACGUUAACCACACAAGGAAGCACCGGCUAACUCCGUGCCAGCAGCCGCGGUAAUACGGAGGGUGCGAACGUUAAUCGGAAUUACUGGGCGUUAAAGCGCGCGUAGGCGGUUCGGUAAGUGGGAUGUGAAAGCCCCGGGCUCAACCUGGGAACUGCAUUCCAAACUGCAGGUACUAGAGUUUGGUAGAGGGAGGUAGAAUUUCCUGUGUAGCGUUGAAUGCGUAGAUUUAGGAAAGGAAUUACCGUUGGCGAAAGGCAGCCUCCUUGGACCAAUACUGGACCCU